rnacentral:rRNA from 1 species
ACCAGACUCCUACGGGAGGCAGCAGUGAGGAAUAUUGGUCAAUGGGCGGGAGCCUGAACCAGCCAAGUCGCGUGAGGGAAGACGGUCCUAUGGAUUGUAAACCUCUUUAGGCGGGGAGCAAUGCCGGGCACGCGUGCCCGGAGGGAGAGUACCCGCAGAAUAAGCAUCGGCUAACUCCGUGCCAGCAGCCGCGGUAAUACGGAGGAUGCGAGCGUUAUCCGGAUUUAUUGGGUUUAAAGGGUGCGUAGGCGGACUGGAAAGUCAGCGGUAAAAUCGAGAGGCUCAACCUCUUUCCGCCGUUGAAACUGUCGGUCUUGAGUGGGCGAGAAGUAUGCGGAAUGCGUGGUGUAGCGGUGAAAUGCAUAGAUAUCACGCAGAACUCCGAUUGCGAAGGCAGCAUACCGGCGCCCGACUGACGCUGAGGCACGAAAGCGUGGGUAUCGAACAGGAUUAGAUACCCCGGUAGU